UAAACAUUGAUACAUUAUUACAUUUUCAAUCCGCCCGGGUACUACAAGCACUAGCUUAAAACCCAAAGGACUUGGCGGUGCUUAAGAUCCCCCUAGAGGAGCCUGUUCUAGAACCGAUAAUCCACGUUUAACCUCACCCUCCCUUGUUUUUUCCGCCUAUAUACCGCCGUCGUCAGCUUACCCUGUGAAGGUCUAACAGUGAGCAAAAAUGGCACAGCCCAGAACGUCAGGUCGAGGUGUAGCGCAUGAGAGGGGAAGAAAUGGGCUACAUUCUCUAAAAAUAGAAGCACACGGAUAAUAUAUUGAAACAUAUAUUUUAAGGAGGAUUUAGUAGUAAGUAGAAAUUAGAAUAUUCCACUGAAUUCGGCCCUAAAGCGCGC
rnacentral:rRNA from 1 species